AACACUUCUAUGGCAGCCCCAACAGUUGUGCCCACAACGUCCCCUUCGAAAAGGAACACCUUUGACGCUGCUAGCUUCAUUGGUGGGAUAGUCCUUGUUUUGGGUAUCCAAGCAGUUGUAUUCUUCUUGUACAAGUUCUGCAAAGCCAAAGAAAGGAAUUACCAUACCCUUUAAAACCUCUCGCUUCGGACUGCUGGCCAACAUCGCUCUAACCAAAUGUUGUAAACUUGAAGAUUUCUCAUGAAUCUCCUCAUUUGAAGAAUGAGGCCUUUUUUUUUUUUUUUUAUCUCCGCAAAUUGAAUGGAACCAUGUUUGUGACAUCACUGUCAAGAAGAAAUGUAUUACAGCUCUGUAAUGCUGUGAACUGCAUGCUCCAAUCACAUCUGCUUCCUAGAAUAUCUAAAACUGCUUUUUUUUUUUUCCCCCACUCCUGUUCUAGAGGGGAAGAAAUAUUUCUAUGAGUAAAUCUACAAAGUACAGUACUGACAUGAACUUUACAUUACAGAGAGCGUAAAAGCUCUGGGAAUGUGAUAUAACUGA